rnacentral:rRNA from 1 species
CGGCGAGUGAAGCGGCAACAGCUCAAAUUUGAAAUCUGGAGUCCGAUCGGGCUUCCGAGUUGUAAUUUGCAGAGGGAGCCUCGGAGGGCAGGUCGGUCCAAGUGCCUUGGAACAGGAUACCGCAGAGGGUGAGAGUCCCGUAUCCGGCCGGCGGUGCGCUCCGUGUGAGGCCUCUUCGACGAGUCGAGUUGUUUGGGAAUGCAGCUCCAAGCGGGUGGUAAAUUCCAUCUAAAGCUAAAUACUGGCCAGAGACCGAUAGCGAACAAGUAGAGUGAUCGAAAGAUGAAAAGCACUUUGAAAAGAGAGUCAAACAGUACGUGAAAUUGUUGAAAGGGAAGCGCAUGGGGGCAGACUUGGCCGCGGUGUUCAGGGUGCGUUCUCGCGCCUGCACUUCGCCGCGGACAGGCCAGCAUCGGUUCCGGGGGCUGGAGAAAGGCGCUGGGAAGGUGGCAGCCUUCGGGGUGUGUUAUAGCCCGGCGCGCAAUGCGGCC